UGAGGAAUAUUGGUCAAUGGGGCGCGAGCCUGAACCAGCCAAGUCGCGUGAAGGAUGAAGGUUCUAUGGAUUGUAAACUUCUUUUAUGGGGGAAUAAAGUGCGGGAUGCGUCCUGUUUUGUAUGUACCUCAUGAAUAAGCAUCGGCUAACUCCGUGCCAGCAGCCGCGGUAAUACGGAGGAUGCGAGCGUUAUCCGGAUUCAUUGGGUUUAAAGGGUGCGUAGGUGGCCUUUUAAGUCAGCGGUGAAAGUUUGUGGCUCAACCAUAAAAUUGCCGUUGAAACUGGAGGGCUUGAGUAUGUUUGGGGCAGGC
rnacentral:rRNA from 1 species